rnacentral:rRNA from 1 species
UACGAAGGGGGCUAGCGUUGCUCGGAAUCACUGGGCGUAAAGCGCACGUAGGCGGAUUGCUAAGUCAGGGGUGAAAUCCUGGAGCUCAACUCCAGAACUGCCUUUGAUACUGGCGAUCUCGAGUCCGGGAGAGGUGAGUGGAACUGCGAGUGUAGAGGUGAAAUUCAUAGAUAUUCGCAAGAACACCAGUGGCGAAGGCGGCUCACUGGCCCGGUACUGACGCUGAGGUGCGAAAGCGUGGGGAGCAAACAGG